rnacentral:rRNA from 1 species
GAUGAACGCUGGCGGCGUGCCUAAUACAUGCAAGUCGAGCGAACAGACGAGGAGCUUGCUCCUCUGACGUUAGCGGCGGACGGGUGAGUAACACGUGGAUAACCUACCUAUAAGACUGGGAUAACUUCGGGAAACCGGAGCUAAUACCGGAUAAUAUUUUGAACCGCAUGGUUCAAUAGUGAAAGACGGUUUUGCUGUCACUUAUAGAUGGAUCCGCGCCGCAUUAGCUAGUUGGUAAGGUAACGGCUUACCAAGGCAACGAUGAGUAGCUGACCUGAGAGGGUGACCGGCCACACUGGAACUGAGACACGGUCCAGACUCCUACGGGAGGCAGCAGUAGGGAAUCUUCCGCAAUGGGCGAAAGCCUGACGGAGCAACGCCGCGUGAGUGAUGAAGGUCUUCGGAUCGUAAAACUCUUUUAUUAGGGAAGAACAAAUGUGUAAGUAACUAUGCACGUCUUGACGGUACCUAAUCAGAAAGCCACGGCUAACUACGUG